CCUACGGGCGGCAGCAGUGGGGGAUAUUGGACAAUGGGGGGAACCCUGGUCCAGCGACGCCGCGUGAGUGAAGAAGUAUUUCGGUAUGUAAAGCUCUGUCAGCAGGGAAGAAAGCAAUGACGGUACCUGACCAAGAAGCCCCGGCUAACUACGUGCCAGCAGCCGCGGUAAUACGUAGGGGGCAAGCGUUAUCCGGAAUUACUGGGUGUAAAGGGAGCGUAGACGGCUGUGCAAGUCUGGAGUGAAAGGCGGGGGCUCAACCCCCGGACUGCUCUGGAAACUGUAUGGCUGGAGUGCAGGAGAGGUAAGCGGAAUUCCGAGUGUAGCGGUGAAAUGCGUAGAUAUUAGGAGGAACACCAGUGGCGAAGGCGGCUUACUGGACUGUAACUGACGUUGAGGCUCGAAAGCGUGGGGAGCAAACAGGAUUAGAUACCCUGGUAGUC
rnacentral:rRNA from 1 species